AUCUUUAAUAAUAUCUCAUCGAUGGUUCUAUCGAACUAAUCACAUGUUUGUUGCAUUACUCCUGUGUAUCUCAUACAUGGAAUAAAAACCUUAACCUUAAUUACAUAACGUGAAAACAUGUGAUGAUUACGACUUACCGGCGAGAUCGAAGCAUUUAGUUUAUCGAAGAUUGAUAGUUUAGCGAAAAUGCAGAAUUUAGAUGCGCAUGAAAUUUAUUAUCAGUUAUUACGAGAAGAACACGAAGCGUUACGCGAAGCGAAAUCGUAUCAACAAUGGACAACAUUAUUCGAAAAUAAGCGAAGCAGAAUUCGUGCGAUUAAAAACUUCAACGCGAGCAGAGCAAAGAUUGAAUCAAGAGGGCAGAUUGAUUCAACAAUAUUACGAGAGGAAGAACAAUGUCUGAAGGAAUUUGACGACGUUAUAGUCAAUCAUUACGCAACAAAUACGCAACAAACACGCAUGGUAGAUGCAUUCCGUCUUUCUGACGAAGACAACCAACCAUUCUACGACGUAACAGUUGUAAUUACAUUAACAAGAUUAAACAAAGAUGCGAGACAAUUACCACGAGAAUGUUUUCUCACUUAUCGUCUACAAGAUGAUAUAAUCGAACGACAAGCUCAACUAGGACCACCGUUCAAUACACAAAACUGCGAUGGAAUACGAGAAGAAAAAAUCGAAACAGUAGAACAUGAUAUAAUGAGCGUAACACAAAUAGUAAGAGCAGCAUCACAAGAACAAUGUCUACAAAACGAUAUAAUUGAAUGUAAAGCUCAACUAGAAUCAUCAUUUGAUACACGAAACUGCGAAGAAAUGCGAGAAGUAAAGAUUGAAACAGCAGAAUAUCCAAGAAUGCAGAGUUUUACACAAUCAGCAAACAUUUCGUCAUCCUUGACGACAAUUACGCCACAAGACACAAUGAACGUAACACGAAUAAUAACAUCAGCAUCACAAGAACAACAGACAACAUUACAAAAAUCACCCGAGACGAUAAAAUCGUUCCAGAUGCAAAUUGUAUCUCAAGAGGAUACGAACGAUCAACGAUUGUGCAGUAGUGCAACACCAAUACGCAAAACAAAGCAUGAGAUUCAACGGAUGAGAUUUCACUCCAGAGUACAGCAACAAUAUACACCGAGGAUCGCCAACACUGAUAGUGACAUAACAAACAAUACAAGAGAUGAAAACUUUACUCCAAAAAGGAAAAGAAUGAGGGUAAAACGCAAAACUCCCACAGAGACAAUACCAACCACAAUGAGCAAAGCAUAUUAUGCAGCCAUAAGGAAAAGAGAUGUCAAGGGUAGAUUCAUCAAAGGCAAGAUACUUUACAACCAAUUGUCAAAAUUACAAGAAAUUUCCAAGCGGCCACUCAUCCAACCUGGCGAUCGCGGUGGACGAUGCUUGACUUCUGCGACUGCUGCGAACUAAUAGGAUAUCCUAAGGAGAUACAUUGCUGUAUGGGAACCGUACAACUGCGCAGGCUGAGAUUGCAUCUAUGACCAAAGUGAAGAAGGUUGAAUUUACCGAGAGACUCGACGAGCAGUACAACAAUCGAGAAAAGCCACAAAAAUCGCAAAAGACAGUAGUGUCGAGAUAAUGCCAAAGAAGACUAAGACAAUGAUGACACAUAAAGACAUCCCAACAAAGUUUAAGUAUCUCAAGCGAGGGAGUCACAAAGACUUACAUAUGCAAACAUAAAUACAUAAUCAACAGUAAUCACAGCACAUCAUUGAAGAUUAGAAUAUCUAUUCGGCAUAAAAAGCAUUAUAAGAAAAACUCUGCAAACAUUAUUAUUUGUUAAAUUACAUCUACAACAAUUUUCUCGUUAUAUCGUAUUUUCACAAACGCUUAGCGAUUAAUAACACGUAAAAACAUAAACAAAAUCAACAAUAAUCAUGUCAGGAUUAAAAAUUACAAUAUCUAUUCGGUAUAAGAAACAAUCUUAUAAAAAAAUUUCUACAAUUAUUACUAUUUUCAAAGUUAAACCACAACAAUUUUAUAUUAUAUCAUAUUUUCAAAUGCUUAGCGAUAUUACCUUAAAAUACAAAAAACGUAAUUAAUAAUAAUCAAGCUAUACAAUUAACAAUUAAAAUAUUUAUUUAGCACAACAAA